UACGGGGGGAGCAAGCGUUGUUCGGAUUUACUGGGCGUAAAGGGCGCGUAGGCGGUCGUGACAAGUCACUUGUGAAAUCUCCGGGCUUAACUCGGAACGGUCAAGUGAUACUGUCGGACUAGAGUACAGAAGGGGCAACUGGAAUUCUCGGUGUAGCGGUGAAAUGCGCAGAUAUCAGGAGGAACACCGGUGGCGAAGGCGGGUCUCUGGGCAACAACUGACGCUGGAGGAGCGAAAGCGUGGGGAGCGAACAGG
rnacentral:rRNA from 1 species